rnacentral:rRNA from 1 species
GACGAACGCUGGCGGCGUGCUUAACACAUGCAAGUCGAACGGAAAGGCCCUGCUUUUGUGGGGUGCUCGAGUGGCGAACGGGUGAGUAACACGUGAGUAACCUGCCCUUGACUUUGGGAUAACUUCAGGAAACUGGGGCUAAUACCGGAUAGGAGCUCCUGCUGCAUGGUGGGGGUUGGAAAGUUUCGGCGGUUGGGGAUGGACUCGCGGCUUAUCAGCUUGUUGGUGGGGUAGUGGCUUACCAAGGCUUUGACGGGUAGCCGGCCUGGGAGGGUGACCGGCACGAUCGGAGGGCGGGAGGGACACAGACGAGGUGAGUAAGGAGAAGUGAGAAAUGUGUGACAGUGGGCGGAAGCCUGACGCGGGAACGGCGGGUGCUGGAUGGCGGCCGUGGGAGUGCAAGCCGCUUUCGCAGGUGAAGAAGGGUGAGGGACGGAAAGAGGAAAAGAGACACCUGGAAACUCCGUGCCAGCGGCCGCGGUAAUAGGGGGAACAGCACACGGCAGAAC